rnacentral:sRNA from 1 species
GCUUUCGCUUUCCUUUCGCGGUGCCCACUCCGCUCCUCGUGCGGCGCUAGGCCCCCGUCCCGGUCAUGGCCAUGCUGAGGGUCCAGCCCGAGGCCCAAGCCAAGGUGGAUGUGUUUCGUGAAGACCUCUGUACCAAGACAGAGAACCUGCUCGGGAGCUAUUUCCCUAAGAAGAUUUCUGAGCUGGAUGCAUUUUUAAAGGAGCCAGCUCUCAAUGAAGCCAACUUGAGUAAUCUGAAGGCCCCGUUGGACAUCCCAGUGCCUGAUCCAGUCAAGGAGAAAGAGAAAGAGGAGCGGAAGAAACAGCAGGAGAAGGAAGACAAGGAUGAAAAGAAGAAGGGGGAGGAUGAAGACAAAGGUCCUCCCUGUGGCCCAGUGAACUGCAAUGAAAAGAUCGUGGUCCUUCUGCAGCGCUUGAAGCCUGAGAUCAAGGAUGUCAUUGAGCAGCUCAACCUGGUCACCACCUGGUUGCAGCUGCAGAUACCUCGGAUUGAGGAUGGUAACAAUUUUGGAGUGGCUGUCCAGGUGAGAGCGCUGCCCCACUUCCCUGCUCUUUUCUAGUCCAUGCUUCCUUCCACUUUCCCCCUUGCUUUUUUUCCCUAGGAGAAGGUGUUUGAGCUGAUGACCAGCCUCCACACCAAGCUAGAAGGCUUCCACACUCAAAUCUCUAAGUAUUUCUCUGAGCGUGGUGAUGCAGUGACUAAAGCAGCCAAGCAGCCCCAUGUGGUAGGUGAGGCCCAGGUCAGGGUGCAUGGGGGAAGGACACAUGUAAGGUCAGGCCUGACCCGAGCUUCCCACAGGGUGAUUAUCGGCAGCUGGUGCACGAGCUGGAUGAGGCAGAGUACCGGGACAUCCGGCUGAUGGUCAUGGAGAUCCGCAAUGCUUAUGCUGUGUUAUAUGACAUCAUCCUGAAGAACUUCGAGAAGCUCAAGAAGCCCA